rnacentral:rRNA from 1 species
GACGAACGCUGGCGGCGUGCUUAACACAUGCAAGUCGAACGGGAUUUAGUAAACGGAAGCCUCGGUGGAAGAUUACUAAUGAGAGUGGCGAACGGGUGAGUAACGCGUGAGCAACCUGCCUAUGACAGUGGGAUAGCCUCGGGAAACCGGGAUUAAUACCGCAUAAAAUCGUAGAAACACAUGUUUCAACGGUCAAAGAUUUAUCGGUCAUAGAUGGGCUCGCGUCUGAUUAGCUAGUUGGUGAGAUAACAGCCCACCAAGGCGACGAUCAGUAGCCGGUCUGAGAGGAUGAACGGCCACAUUGGAACUGAGACACGGUCCAAACUCCUACGGGAGGCAGCAGUGGGGAAUAUUGCACAAUGGGGGAAACCCUGAUGCAGCGACGCCGCGUGAACGAAGAAGGUAUUCGUAUCAUAAAGUUCUGUCCUAUGGGAAGAUAAUGACAGUACCAUAGAAGAAAGCUCCGGCUAAAUACGUG